AGCAGUAGCCGCGGUAACACGAGGGGAGCUAGCGUUAUUCGGAAUUACUGGGCGUAAAGCGCACGUAGGCGGCUUUGUAAGUUAGAGGUGAAAGCCCAGAGCUCAACUCUGGAAUUGCCUUUAAGACUGCAUCGCUUGAAUCCAGGAGAGGUGAGUGGAAUUCCGAGUGUAGAGGUGAAAUUCGUAGAUAUUCGGAAGAACACCAGUGGCGAAGGCGGCUCACUGGACUGGUAUUGACGCUGAGGUGCGAAAGCGUGGGGAGCAAACAGGAUUAGAUACCCCCGUAGUCCCUGUCUCUUAUAC
rnacentral:rRNA from 1 species